AGUGAACGCUGGCGGUAGGCCUAACACAUGCAAGUCGAGCGGCAAGGCCCUUUCGGGGGUACUCGAGCGGCGAACGGGUGAGUAACAUGUGAGUAAUCUGCCCCUGGCUUUGGGAUAGCCACCGGAAACGGUGAUUAAUACCGGAUACGACCACUUCUCGCAUGGGAUGGUGGUGGAAAGUUUUUCGGCCAGGGAUGUGCUCGCGGCCUAUCAGCUUGAUGGUGAGGUAAUGGCUCACCACGGCUUCGACGGGUAGCCGGCCUGAGAGGGUGACCGGUCACACUGGGACGGAGACACGGCCCAGACGCCUACGGGAGGCAGCAGUGGGGAAUAUUGGACAAUGGGCGGAAGCCUGAUCCAGCAACGCCGCGUGAGGGAUGACGGCCUUCGGGUUGUAAACCUCUUUCAGCAGGGACGAAGCGCAAGUGACGGUACCUGCAGAAGAAGCACCGGCCAACUACGUGCCAGCCGCCGCGGUAA
rnacentral:rRNA from 1 species